rnacentral:rRNA from 1 species
UACCAGCUCUCCGAGUGGUGUGGAUGUUUAUUGGGCCUAAAGCAUCCGUAGCUGGCUGGACAAGUCCCCUGUUAAAUCCACCGAUUUAAUCGUUGGUGUGCGGGGGAUACUGUUCGGCUAGGGGACGGGAGAGGCAGACGGUAUUUUCGGGGUAGGGGUGAAAUCCUAUAAUCCCGGGAAGACCACCAGUGGCGAAGGCUGUCUGCUAGAACGCGCCCGACGGUGAGGGAUGAAAGCUGGGGGAGCGAACCGGAUUAGAUACCCGGGUAGUCCCAGCUGUAAACGAUGCAGGCUAGGUGUUUGGACGCCACGUGCCGUUCUAGUGCCGCAGGGAAGCCGUUAAGCCUGCCGCCUGGGGAGUACGGCCGCAAGGCUGAAACUUAAAGGAAUUGGCGGGGGAGCACCACAAGGGGUGAAGCUUGCGGUUU